AGGAAAAAUAGCAGAGUAGUUUUUCCAGAGUAAUUAUUUUUUUCCUCAAAAAGAGUUGUUUUUUAUCUAUUUUGAGUGAACAGAGUAAAAUGUGUCCAUAGAGUGGGAGCAAAAUUAUAGAGUAACUGUGACUCCUCCCCAAAAUCUUCUGCUCCCUAAGUUUCGUUUGUCAGCCAUUACUGUUCUACGCGGCCAUCGCGAUCGCGGUCUGCAUUUGGAUUUGGAAGAGAUCGUUGUGCUACUGCUGGAUUUAAAAAAUGCAAACCAACAACGUUGUGAGACUGAGAGUGAAGUUCAAAGACACCAAGAAAAAUAUUUUUUCUCCAACACCUUUUACAUUUCAAGAAUAUGCAAAGGGAAUCAUCUCCCUAUUCCCAUACUUGGCAGAAUGGGUCACCCAGGAGCAAGCUUGGUUAUGAGCAUUAUUACAAUCCAGAAGAUGGAAGUGGAUAUCUGGCAUGGAGAAUAAAAACCCUGCAGAAAGAAGCAGGGACGGAUGA